rnacentral:rRNA from 1 species
UCAGCGGCGGACGGGUGAGUAAUGCCUAGGAAUCUGCCUGGUAGUGGGGGACAACGUUUCGAAAGGAACGCUAAUACCGCAUACGUCCUACGGGAGAAAGCAGGGGACCUUCGGGCCUUGCGCUAUCAGAUGAGCCUAGGUCGGAUUAGCUAGUUGGUGAGGUAAUGGCUCACCAAGGCGACGAUCCGUAACUGGUCUGAGAGGAUGAUCAGUCACACUGGAACUGAGACACGGUCCAGACUCCUACGGGAGGCAGCAGUGGGGAAUAUUGGACAAUGGGCGAAAGCCUGAUCCAGCCAUGCCGCGUGUGUGAAGAAGGUCUUCGGAUUGUAAAGCACUUUAAGUUGGGAGGAAGGGUUGUAGAUUAAUACUCUGCAAUUUUGACGUUACCGACAGAAUAAGCACCGGCUAACUCUGUGCCAGCAGCCGCGGUAAUACAGAGGGUGCAAGCGUUAAUCGGAAUUACUGGGCGUAAAGCGCGCGUAGGUGGUUUGUUAAGUUGGAUGUGAAAGCCCCGGGCUCAACCUGGGAACUGCAUCCAAAACUGGCAGGCUAGAGUACGGUAGAGGGUGGUGGAAUUUCCUGUGUAGCGGUGAAAUGCGUAGAUAUAGGAAGGAACACCAGUGGCGAAGGCGACCACCUGGACUGAUACUGACACUGAGGUGCGAAAGCGUGGGGAGCAAACAGGAUUAGAUACCCU